rnacentral:piRNA from 1 species
UGUGCAUUUUUCUGUGUGUUUGUUCUACU